UACGUAGGGUGCAAGCGUUGUUCGGAAUCAUUGGGCGUAAAGCGCGUGUAGGCGGUCAAGUAAGUCUUGUGUGAAAUCCCUGGGCUCAACCGAGGAAGUGCAUGGGAAACUACUUGGCUUGCAGACGGUAGAGGAAGGUGGAAUUCCAAGUGUAGAGGUGAAAUUCGUAGAUAUUUGGAGGAAUACCGGUGGCGAAGGCGGCCUUCUGGACCGAUCUGGACGCUGAGACGCGAAAGCGUGGGGAGCAAACAGG
rnacentral:rRNA from 1 species